GCCCGGAUGGCGGAACUGGCAGACGCGACGGACUCAAAAUCCGUUGGCCGCAAGGCCGUGUGGGUUCGAUUCCCUCUCCGGGCA
rnacentral:tRNA from 1 species